UACAGAGGUCUCAAGCGUUGUUCGGAUUCAUUGGGCGUAAAGGGUGCGUAGGCGGCGCGGUAAGUCGGGUGUGAAAUCUCGGGAGCUUAACUCCGAAACUGCAUUCGAUACUGCCGUGCUUGAGGACUGGAGAGGAGACUGGAAUUUACGGUGUAGCGGUGAAAUGCGUAGAUAUCGUGAAGAAGACCCAGUGGCGAAAGGCGG
rnacentral:rRNA from 1 species